AAAAAAAAAAAAAAAAAAAAAAAACAUUUCGGAAAAGCAGGAAAAAGGGAAUUAUUGAAACUAAUCAAAAUUUAAUUUUUUUUGAUUUAAAAGUCUAUACAAUCAAAAUUAUAAAAUUGAUUAAUAUUGGUGGCAACAAUUUAUUAAUAGAGAUACACAUUAAAUGGGAGUAAAAAUAGAAAAAUUAAAAAAAUUAGACUUUAAAAAAAGAAAACGAACUAUAAUAUAUAAGUGAAAAAGAAUUUAAGACUAUUAUUAUGAGACAGAGUAAGUAUUAAUAAGUAAAUCUUAAAAUAAAAAAUUAAUUUAAAAAUGAAAUUUUUUUAGUGUUAUUUACUGACAUCUGAAUUUUAUUACCAAAGACUGUAUAAUUUAAUUUGAAAUUUAAUUACAAUUAAGGUUUUUCGCACUUUUCGUAGAUAAAAAAUAAACUUUUAAUAUUUCACAUUAGUGAAAAAAAAUUAAAUAAAAAAUUAUGAUUAAUUAGAUUAACUAGAGCACGUGUCUGAAAGUCAAGACAGUAAUUGUCUUACGAGGCAAAAAGAGUUGAUAGUGUUACUUGAUGAUUAUAUUUAAAAAUAAAAAUAAAAAAUUAAAUAUUGUCAAAUAAAAAAACAAAAAGGUGGAUCUUCAAUCUUCAUCAAUAUUAAAAAAAAAAAAAAAAAAAAACACAAUUGCGUAAAGCAUGAUAAAUGGAAUAUUGAGUAAGAGUAAGUGCCAUUUAAAUAAUUAAUAUAAGUCACAGUUCGUGAUCCCAUGCUUCACGUGUCACAACAAACCUUAUGUUCUUUAUCAUCUUUCGUUGACUAAGCAGCACAACUCAAAAAUCUGUCAAAUUAACGGUCAAGAUUUCACGUCGUAAGUUAUUACCAUACAUCACAGACCUUACGCGGGGUCUUCCCGUUUUCCAAUAAUUAAUAUUUUACUACAAUUAACGCUAAGACAACUUUCUCUCUCUAUCCCUCUCUCUAAAAAGAACAUACAGAUACAGGCCCUCGCUUUCUCUCUCUCUCCACAUAUCUUUUCUAGCUUUCUUUCUUUGAGACUUUUGAGCUUCUCUUCUUCUUGUCUGCGGAGAAGUGACACUGCUGUUUAGAGCUAUACAUUCACCAUUUAAAAUUGUAGGUAAUGAUUAAGGUUCUUUGCAUGCUUUUAACAUUUGAGCUUUUUUUUUUUCCAUAGGAGCUGUUAAAUCUUCAAUUUUUAAGAGAAUUAUGGUGUUAAAAGAGUUCAUAUGCUUGUUUCAAGUGAAUUUGGAGAUGUGUUUUCAAUUUUUAAGGUAUUGGUUUUUCAUUAAAGUUGUACUCUUGAACUCUUUAGCUUCUUUGGAAUUUGGUGGCGUUUGCUGUUUUAUUUUGGGGUUGAAAAUGGUUGAAUUUGUAGAUCUAUUAUUGAUAUUUGAUAAACUAUGUUCUGGAUUCUUGAGGUUUAAGAUGUUAUGUUGCAUUAUCCUGUAAAGGGGGAGUAUUGAAAGAUGGAUCUAAUUCAACUGUGGUUGUUAGGUGUCAAAGUCUCUCAUGCUAGCAUAUAAGUCUUGAAUUCUGUUUGGGUUGCAGAAAUUGAACUGUUAUGGGUUACAUACAGGAAUGAGAACUGAUUAAGUGGUGAACUAAAAGUUAAGGCUGACAAUUUUAGGUGAAUGCAUGUGGUAUAGUCAUGUCUUGGAAAAUAAGUCAUUAAUGAGUUUAAAAUCAAUUGCAAGAUGCUUUAAAAUUGUUAUUCUAGCUGCAAAUAGUCUGAUUAGAGUUUCCUAAUUCUGCUAGUGAAAGUCUUUGCCAAGGCUUAGCUAUACAGUCAGCCAAAAUGGGUGAAGCCACCAACCUUUAGGUAUCAGCAUCUAAGGUUUGAUGCCACUGACAACUGAUAAAUUCUUUUUAUGCUGUACGUGCGUGUAUGGUGAUGAUGUGUUCUAUAUCUCUUUUAAUUCUUUCUGAAUAUUAUAUGUUCUAAUUCAUGCGUUGAUUGCAGUUACUAAUAUUGCUGUUGUUUUUGUUUGCAGAAAAACUGACAACUAAACAAUCCUGCAGGUUCAUACUUGGCUUAGAAUCCCAGACAGAGUUUUGGAAAUUCACUUGCUCUCUUUCCUGGGAUUUAUGCGGACAUAACAAUCACUUGUAAUUUAAGUAGUGCAUAUAUGGUAGUCACCUUAAGUUAGAAUUUGUGUUAUUAUUUUAUUGCAUAUAAAUAUGCCUUGGUGGGGAAAGACAUCAUCCAAAGAAGACAAGAAGAAAACAAAUGGAAGUAUCAUUGAUGCAAUACAUCGAAAAUUCAAGAUUGCUUCGGAAGAAAAAGACAAUAGUAGAUCAGGAGGUUCUUGGAGACGGGGUAGUGACACUGUUUCAGAGAGGGGAUCCAUAUCACGGGUGCCGUCAAGGUCACCAUCGCCUUCCACACAUGUUUCGCGCUGCCAAAGUUUUGCAGAAAGGCCUCAUGCCCAACCGCUUCCACUUCCUGGGGCGCGCCAUGCUGGCAUUGGACGUUGUAAUUCUGGAAUUAGUGCAUCAAUAAGACCAAGACUGGAUGGAGGUUUGAAGCCUUUGGAUUUGCCUCUUCCAAAACCUGGAUGUGGCCCUAAUAGAUUAGGACAUGCUUACACUGAGGGUGAUAUAGCUACAGCUUCUGUUUCUAGUGCUAGCUCCACUGACAGUGACUAUCCAUCUGAUUCACGAAUCCUUAGCCCCCUCACAUCUGACUAUGAAAAUGGAAACAGAACUGCUACAAACAGUCCUUCGAGGUGAGUUUUUGUGUAUAUGCGCAAUGAAGAUCAUGUUUUUUGACGUGCCAUAUGUGUGGUUCUGUUUUCUCUCUGACAAAAUUUGUCUUUCUAUUUUGAAGUAUGAAGCACAAAGAUCAAUCCCAUAUUUUCAGUCCAAAGUACUCAAAAGAGAUAUUGAAGCCUGCUGACUUUUCACUCAAUAAUCAGAUUCCUUCUACAUCACCAAGACGGGCUCCUUUAAGCACUCAUGUACAAAAUAUGCAGAUUCCUCAUCGAGGUGCACUCUACAGUGCUCCAGACAGCUCAUUGUCAAGUCCUUCUAGAAGCCCAAUGAGAGCAUUUGGACCUGAGCAAGCUAUUAACUGUGGAUUAUGGGCAGGGCUAGGCUCUGGACAUUGCUCAAGUCCAGGUUCUGGUUAUAACUCUGGGCAUAACUCAAUAGGUGGAGAAAUGUCAGGACAGCUGUUUUGGCCAAAUAGUAGAUGUAGCCCCGAAUGUUCUCCAAUACCUAGUCCCAGAAUGACAAGCCCUGGUCCCGGCUCCAGAAUACACAGUGGUGCUGUCACCCCUCUGCAUCCACGAGCUGGAGGUGCUUCCAUGGAAUCACCUACAAGCCGGCCUGAUGAUGGGAAGCAACAAAGUCAUAAGUUGCCCCUCCCGCCGAUAACAAUCUCUAAUACUUGCCCCUUUUCACCUGCAUAUUCAACUGCAACAUCUCCUUCAGUGCCCCGAAGUCCUAAUCGGGCAGACAAUCCAACAAGUCCUGGUUCACGUUGGAAGAAGGGUCGUCUGCUGGGGAGAGGCACGUUUGGACAUGUGUAUCUGGGGUUUAACAGGUCAGUUGGAAUGGUUAUAUGCUUAAUAUUUAUGCACUUGAGAGAGAACGUAUAAUUAUCUUAUAGCUAGCUUUGACCUAUGAUCAUAUAACAUUGUUAUUGAAUUGUCCAUGACUUGUAGUACUUUAGAACAAUACAUGAGAUUGAAAUCACUAAAAUCAUUGUUGUUCCAAAAACAUGCAGUUUGUCUUUAUGUUAUAAAAUGUAAGAAUUUAGGGGAAUAAUAUAUUAUAUGAUAUUGCACUUCAAUGGCUAAAGUGCAUUCAAAUUAUUAGAUUUGGGACUAAAAUAUGCUUGAAUUUCACAAAUCAAUGGUUAAAGUGUUGUAUAAGUUUCCAAAGUAUCAUAACUAGGUGUUCCUUAAGCUGAAUCUCUGGAGUUUGUAAUAGUUUUCUUCAACCUCAAGCACUGUCGUUGGAAUUAUUGUGUCUUUGUUUUACUUCAGAAUUAAACCCUGGAUUUGAAGGUAUCAUUAAACUCCAGAGAAGCUGAGUUAUGAACAAAUCUUUUCAUGAGCAUUCUCUUCUCCAAUAAUUUUAACUGUAUUAUGCACGUCUCAUUUGAAUUUGUUGUUUGGGCUUUAGUGAAAGUGGGGAGAUGUGUGCAAUGAAGGAGGUAACUCUAUUUGCAGAUGAUCCAAAAUCAAAGGAAAGUGCACAGCAGCUGGGACAAGUAAGUUUACUUGGGUAGAUUCAUUGGGAUUUUACAGUUUAAUGGCCAUAAAUCUUAAAAUACAGUUUACUUAUCUGAGAGAUUUCUUAAUGAUUGAUAAUAUCUGGCAGGAAAUUGCAUUGUUAAGUCGGCUGUGGCACCCUAAUAUAGUGCAGUAUUAUGGAUCUGAAACGGUAGGUGCUUUUAACAUAUGCUUUCAUUGUUAAGGACAUUAUUUUUAUAAGGUUGAAUUAAUGUGAUUAAUAUUGUUUCAUGCUAAAUAUUCUUCUUUGGUAUGUAUUCCUUGUGCCAAAUUGCAUUGUUGAUUAUUGUUCCAGAAUUUUGGAACUGCUAAGAGGUUGCAACGCUUUACAAGCAGAUAUAUUUCUGCAAUAAUCUAUUGGUUUUUGUGUUUAAAUUUUUAUAGUGUCAUAUUGCUACCUUGUAUAAUGUUAAGGUAGUGUUAUAUUUUAUUUUGAUUAUCAUUAGAAAUAAAUUAGCAAUCAGUCGUCUAGAUAACCUGGUUCUUUAUUGGCUGAGCAGGUUGAUGAUAAAUUAUAUAUAUACUUGGAGUAUGUUUCGGGCGGUUCCAUCUAUAAACUUCUUCAAGAGUAUGGUCAGUUUGGUGAAAUAGGCAUUCGUAGUUACACUCAACAAAUCUUGUCCGGGCUUGCUUAUUUGCAUGCUAAAAACACUGUCCACAGGUAUGACUUUUUGUUGCUACUUCAUGGUCUGGAUAUAUUAGAAACAUGGUUUAUCAAAUGUUAGAGCAUGAUUAUGCUUAUGUCUAGUUUUUGUUUUAUACAGAGAUAUUAAAGGAGCAAAUAUUCUUGUAGACCCCAGUGGCCGCGUGAAACUGGCAGAUUUUGGGAUGGCAAAACAUGUGAGAAUAGCUGUCUAAAAUUUUUUGAAAAAUUGCUGACAUUUAUAAAUUUUGCAAACUAAGAAAAUCAAUCUCCUAUAGAUGUUGGUCGUUCGCAAACUAAGAAAACAUGGAAGUAAGAUGCUUUUAUGCAUGCAUAUUAACCUGUUAGCCAUGUGCUCUAACCUGUUUUAACUAACUAAUCUCCAGAUAACUGGGCAGUCUUGUCCACUAUCAUUCAAGGGGAGUCCCUACUGGAUGGCGCCUGAGGUCUGCAUUUUUUACUGCAUAUUCCAUUUCUGCCUUUAGUUUGUGAUGAUGCUAAUCAGUUUCUUUUAAAUGUAUUGAAAUUAUUUUCAGGUGAUAACAAAGUCGAAUGGUUGCAAUCUUGCUGUUGAUAUAUGGAGCCUUGGUUGCACAGUUUUAGAGAUGGCAACAUCAAAGCCACCAUGGAGUCAAUACGAAGGGGUUAGUAAUACUACAUCUAUAAGUUUAGUUAUUAGAUUUGUGACAUUACUUGUGCAAAUUAGCAUAGCAUUUCCCUUGGUGAAAGUGAGAGUACUUGAGUCCUGACCCGUUGAUUGUUUGACCUACUUCUUCAAAGGUUGCCGCUAUGUUCAAGAUUGGAAACAGCAAGGAGCUUCCUGCAAUUCCUGAUAAUUUCUCAGAUGAGGGGAAGGACUUCGUGAGGCAAUGCUUGCAACGGGACCCAUCACAUCGCCCUACGGCUGCUCAACUUUUGGAGCACCCUUUUGUGAAAAAUGCUGCUCCAUUAGAGAAACCAAUUUUGGUUGCUGAGCCUUCAGAAGCAAUGCCCAUGGUUAUGAAUGCAGGAAGAUCAAUGGUAUUGGGAAUUCUCUCUUUAAUUUCCAUGCUACCUUCAUGUCUUCAAUUUGUUAUAAGCCAAAAAGUGCAUAGUUGUUUUUACUUGCAUUCAACAAUAAAUUUUGUCCUCUUCAAAACUGGGGUGCAGUUUCAUGAGCAUUGUUUUUUGCUCUUUGAUGAUCUAGUGAUGAAAAUUCAACAUUUGAAAUUUGACUCUCUUAUAUGAUCAUUUUCAUUUCCAUCACGAGUUUGAUUUGCUGAAGUGGAUCACAUCUAUUGCUUGCUACAUUGUCAUGGAGGGUUUAGAAUAGUCAAUUUUAACAUUUAGGCAGAAAAUGUUACCUUGUUUUUGUGAAUAUAUUGUGAAGAGAAGUUGUUUUUAACUUUGAAUUUGAGUGUAUUGGCACCUUCUCGCCUCCCCCAAACCUCCCAACAAGUAAUGGAAAAGUGUUGGCCUGCCUAGUUAGCUGUUUCAGUUAUAACAUAUUUUGUUUUCUUUCUGAUGCUUUUGUAUGUAUUUUCUUGGUCAUUUCUCUAUCUUUUUCUACCUUAUCUGCUUUGACUUUUAUGACCUUUGACUUGACUUUUGGGUUUCAAUCUUGGAUAUGAAAUUAGGGCAUUGGGCACGCCAGAAACAUUGCAGGCUUUGAUUUAGAAGGGUUUGCUAUCCAUCAAUCUCAAGGCUCAAAAACUGCAGGGUCCAGGUUCCUUUUAUCUCUUUCUCUUCUCCAAUGCAUAUCUGUACGUUUAAUCUACAUUUGCUUGUGUGAAUAAAUGCACUCACACACUCCUAUAUGUGCUUGCAGAAAUACAUAUUUGGGUUAUAUCUGGUGAACUUCAUAUGGCAUAUAUGAGGAUUAUUUGCAAGUCUAUUAUUAUCUUAUUAAGAUGAACUAGUAGUCUAGUACUAUAGACAACAUAGUUUAGCUGAAAUAGAGGUGUUUCUUAUUCUAUGUAUUAUAUAUACUACAUGUUAUGUUUCUCAUUUUGAUGAAAUUUGGGGCAUUCAGUAUCUCUUUAUCACCAAUCGCCAUUCAUACAACUGAAACAAAAUAAAUGUGGUGGUGGUGGUUGCUUUCUUCAAAUGUUAACAGUAGUUUAUAUCUAGCAUUGUUUGUUCUGUAAAUGAUGAUUAGCAUGGUAUGUUUUCCUCCAUUCGUCUUGCUCUUGAACCAUGUUAAUGCUGUUUUAAAAUGUGCUCUACUGAAAGGAAGAAAAGCCUGUCCAUGCUUUUAUGAUGGUUUCAAUCUGCAACGAGUUGGUUUUUUUCCAUGACUCAUGUUAGUUACUUGAGUUGUUCAGAACAUGUAAGCUGACUAUUAUUUUUAUCUAAUUGACACCUUUUAUUUCUUUACUAAAUUUUGCCCUUCUAUUCCAGUGAAAUUCAUACACCGAAGAACGCAUCCUGUCCAGUUUCUCCAAUUGAGAGUCCUCUUCUACAUUCAAGGUCCCCACAGCAUAUGAGCGGACGAUUGUCUCCAUCUCCUAUAUCUAGUCCUCAUACUCAAUCUGGUGCAUCCACACCUCAUACCGGUGGUAACGGUGCAAUCCCAUUUCAUCAUGCAAUGCAGCCAACAACUUACUUACAGGAAAGCAUGGGAAUGAUCCCAAGGUCACAUAACAUUUUGUAUGCCAAUAGCAAUAAUCCAUAUCAGGAUCCCAAGCCUGAUUUUUUUCGAGGGAUGUCACAACCCUCUCAUGUUUUCCGGGAGCUGAUUUCUUCAGAUAAUAGCUCUCUUGAAAACCAGUUUGGACGACCUGGCUAUGCAGACCCCAGGGAACAAUAUAAUAGGCAGCCUGUCUUGGCUGAUCGUGUGUCUCAGCAGCUCCUUAGAGAUCAUGGGAAGCUGAAGCCAUCCCUGGACCUAAAUCCAACCUUCUCAAUGCUUGGCCGUACCAAUGGAAUCUAACUUGCACUGAAAACAAUUUUCAGUACAUUCCUUUAAAGUCAAGAUUGACCAUGUGGUUAAGUUUGGAUCUUCUGAAACCUUGAAUGGCAGAAAAAAUGUUUGGAAGCAGAAUCUGAAUACUUGGAUACAGAGUUCAUAUGAUAACCAAUUUGCAUAAAAUAUGCAUGGAGAUGAUGGAUAGUUGGCAACACUCAAAUUGUUCUCACUUGUGAUGAUUGAUUCAAGAUUUUUACUUGGCAACUAUAAUAUUUCACCUUAUCUUUAAUUAAGCAUGUUUUCAUGUCAGCUGUGAUGGUGCAAAAGCUCAUAUUUGAACAAAUGGUUUAUUCGGAGGAGAAGGUGGCAGCAUUCAGCAGCUCCUUGAAACCGGGAACAUAUAUACUGGUGUAAAGAACUGUAUAUCCUAUUACACUUGAAACGGAGUAAGAAGAGCUAUUACCAUUUCUGAACUUUAAUAGCUUGUCUUUUUCCUUUCACUGUUUUUUGGGUGGAAGGAUAUUGGUGGAAAUUUAAAAAAUUUUGUACAGAAAGUUGGAGUCCAGAUUUUGUCGAACAAUGACGAUCGAGAAUUGGAUGCUUGACCUGAUAUUUUUUUUUGUAUCAGUAUAUGGCAGCUCAAAAACAGAACAGACUAUGCUGCUCUGCUGAUACUAUUGCAUCUACUUUAUCUACAUUAAAUCAAAUUGACGACAUCUAAUUUAACCAUCUGUAAAUUUAUUACUUGUGAAUGAAAUCCUUUGAACAUUGUGUCUGCAAACUAAGAUUCUUUGAAACCCUGUUCACUUUGUCUUGGUGAAGUUGAAGCUAAAAUCCUGCAAUUCUUUGCAGUUCUUGAUCUUAAGACAGAGGGCUUGGACUUUUUGAAUCAAUGAUCUGUUUUUUGCAUCGUUUGUUAAAGACUGAACAAAUGUAACAGUAGAAUAAGAAAUUAUUCACAAAUGUAAAAGGAGCAUACAUCAGUAAAGUCUCUGACAGAAAAACUUAACAGGCUCCUUACAUUCAGCUACCCUGAACAGAACAGAGAAAGGUAAGAGUGGCUUGCAUCACACAGGAAAACACCCACAAAUCAUCACAGCCUCGCAAGGAUUGCCACCCAACAAAUAUUUGAGAGACUUCAAUAAAUCAAACUCCAGUAAAUCAGAAUAUUGUUCGACCGGUUUAGGUCGAAACUUCUUAUUUAUAAUAUAAUUCAAAAAACUAAAGUCUAAAACACGAGAUUUAGACAUUUCUCUUGGGGAAGAACUAAACUUAAAGGUCUCCACAUGAAUACACGGGUCAGGACGUUCAGGAUAAAUGAACCCGGCUUUAAUGGUGCAAGGUGUCCUUUCCCCUACACAAGAUAUGGAACCACGUCCAGCUACGUGAUAUGGGCGAUAUGGCAUUUGUGUAUGCGCAACGCUAUCCGUAUACCCGAUAUCAUCAUCAUCAGGCUCUAAUUUAGGUUUUAAAAAGUAUAGGGGAAAUGGGCAAUCAAAUUUCACAGGAGAUAACAGAUAUGCACGAAAUGGAGAGAAACACACUUCGUCAACAAGUAUGAAGUCCAUCCGGUAGGGCGAUUGAUAUCCAGACACAGUAUCUGUUUUUGAUUGCUAGUUUGAGAUAAAAAGCCUGGAACCUCCUACACAAUAGGAGUCUAUUGUAAUCAUAGGGGAAUAUUCAGAGUAUUCCAUAGGUUCAGGAAGUUCGGUCCAGCUAUUUUCAGUUGGAUCAAACAGCUCAAAACUUGGACGUCCGACAUAAAAACCACUUCGAUAAAGCAUUUGGGAGAAAACACAAACCUUACCGUCAAAGAUAACCACAGAAGGGCGGACUUUCGAAGCCUUCAUCUCAGAUAAUUCGCCCAGCAGCAUCCCCCGUGAAAAAUCAUAGCCUAACACAGUGGAUUCCCAAUCCCCCUCUUUGCCCCGUCUUUUUAUAUUACUCAGAUCCGGGAUGAUGUACCGACCGCCGAACAUAUAUGGUUUAUUCGGAGGAGAAGGUGGCAGCAUUCAGCAGCUCCUUGAAACCGGGAACAUAUAUACUGGUGUAAAGAACUGUAUAUCCUAUUACACUUGAAACGGAGUAAGAAGAGCUAUUACCAUUUCUGAACUUUAAUAGCUUGUCUUUUUCCUUUCACUGUUUUUUGGGUGGAAGGAUAUUGGUGGAAAUUUAAAAAAUUUUGUACAGAAAGUUGGAGUCCAGAUUUUGUCGAACAAUGACGAUCGAGAAUUGGAUGCUUGACCUGAUAUUUUUUUUUGUAUCAGUAUAUGGCAGCUCAAAAACAGAACAGACUAUGCUGCUCUGCUGAUACUAUUGCAUCUACUUUAUCUACAUUAAAUCAAAUUGACGACAUCUAAUUUAACCAUCUGUAAAUUUAUUACUUGUGAAUGAAAUCCUUUGAACAUUGUGUCUGCAAACUAAGAUUCUUUGAAACCCUGUUCACUUUGUCUUGGUGAAGUUGAAGCUAAAAUCCUGCAAUUCUUUGCAGUUCUUGAUCUUAAGACAGAGGGCUUGGACUUUUUGAAUCAAUGAUCUGUUUUUUGCAUCGUUUGUUAAAGACUGAACAAAUGUAACAGUAGAAUAAGAAAUUAUUCACAAAUGUAAAAGGAGCAUACAUCAGUAAAGUCUCUGACAGAAAAACUUAACAGGCUCCUUACAUUCAGCUACCCUGAACAGAACAGAGAAAGGUAAGAGUGGCUUGCAUCACACAGGAAAACACCCACAAAUCAUCACAGCCUCGCAAGGAUUGCCACCCAACAAAUAUUUGAGAGACUUCAAUAAAUCAAACUCCAGUAAAUCAGAAUAUUGUUCGACCGGUUUAGGUCGAAACUUCUUAUUUAUAAUAUAAUUCAAAAAACUAAAGUCUAAAACACGAGAUUUAGACAUUUCUCUUGGGGAAGAACUAAACUUAAAGGUCUCCACAUGAAUACACGGGUCAGGACGUUCAGGAUAAAUGAACCCGGCUUUAAUGGUGCAAGGUGUCCUUUCCCCUACACAAGAUAUGGAACCACGUCCAGCUACGUGAUAUGGGCGAUAUGGCAUUUGUGUAUGCGCAACGCUAUCCGUAUACCCGAUAUCAUCAUCAUCAGGCUCUAAUUUAGGUUUUAAAAAGUAUAGGGGAAAUGGGCAAUCAAAUUUCACAGGAGAUAACAGAUAUGCACGAAAUGGAGAGAAACACACUUCGUCAACAAGUAUGAAGUCCAUCCGGUAGGGCGAUUGAUAUCCAGACACAGUAUCUGUUUUUGAUUGCUAGUUUGAGAUAAAAAGCCUGGAACCUCCUACACAAUAGGAGUCUAUUGUAAUCAUAGGGGAAUAUUCAGAGUAUUCCAUAGGUUCAGGAAGUUCGGUCCAGCUAUUUUCAGUUGGAUCAAACAGCUCAAAACUUGGACGUCCGACAUAAAAACCACUUCGAUAAAGCAUUUGGGAGAAAACACAAACCUUACCGUCAAAGAUAACCACAGAAGGGCGGACUUUCGAAGCCUUCAUCUCAGAUAAUUCGCCCAGCAGCAUCCCCCGUGAAAAAUCAUAGCCUAACACAGUGGAUUCCCAAUCCCCCUCUUUGCCCCGUCUUUUUAUAUUACUCAGAUCCGGGAUGAUGUACCGACCGCCGAACAUAUAUAAGAUCGAUCCGCAAAAAGCGAAGGCCGUACUAAAGGAUAACAAGGAAUUUGCAAUUGAAGAACUGGAUUCAGCGUCGGUAUACUGAUUGGAUUAGGUUUACAAUUCAGAUUGAAAACGUAUACUGAAUAAAAAGUACCCCUCGGCUGCCUUAAUACACAGCAAACGAUACAAACUUUCUCAGAGGCCAUCACCGCAUCUUCAGCCUCUAGAGCCACGUGUUUUGACGUCUCCCCAAAUCCAGAGGGUUGAGAUAACAGCCGCUUUGCCAUUUUCGUUUGAAGAAGACGCGUAGGUUUUAGGGUUUGAGGAGCUUGAUGAUCCGUUUCUUAAAUACAACGUUUUCUUGCAUGGUGGUCGCACGUACUUCAAAUUAGGGUUUUCUUUCGUUUUUGAUUGGUUUGUUAUUAAACUCGGUCCGAAUAUUCACCGGCCAGCCAAAGAAUCAGAUGGAUGUGUCACUGGUUUAAUGAGCGGAUCAAUGAUUCAAUUAACGGGUAUAAUAAUAUUAAUAGUAUGUAUUGAAAUAAUUAUAAUUAUAAUAUUAAUUAAUUAAUGUGUUCAAAUUGAUAUUUAUACCUCGAAUUUGAGUAUUCUAAGCUAAAUGAUACUUUACAAAUUAUUUAUAUCAUGUGUAAUUACACUAAUCAAAUGAAUUUAUUUAUUUUAAGCAACUACAUUUAUCGUGAUUAGUUUUUAAAACUAUUUCAAAAAAUAUAAUAUCAUUUAAAGUUAGUUUAUUAUAAUAGAGAGUUAGCUCGAAUUUACUAUUAACGUUACAAUAUUCUAUAAUUAUUUUUUACUAACAAACAUUCUCACAUCAUGGUUCUAGGCUAAGAACAGUUCACAAGUAAUGUUCAAACCAAGAAAAUCCCCAAGAAUAGUUCACAACAUACAAACUGAGUAACAAAACAAGUUGCAUACAUAGGAGGCUUGAACUUAGCUACUUAGAAUUUAUCAAUGUCAAGCUGAAAUCCCACAAUUUUGUGGCUAAUUCUGAAUCUUUAGCCUGAGAACUUGGAUUGGCUAUGUUACUGUCCGCAAAAUAUUGUCCAGUUACCCCAUUAACCUGCGGAUUCAAAGCUACGUAGCAUGUAGUGGCUGCUCCCUGUAACCAUUCAUAACAAACUAAUAAAGCUAAUUGACAGAAUUGAGUUGGAACCCAUCAAAUAUUUAAUUCUAAAGGGCAAACCUGUGGGAUGUUUUUGAGAAAAUAUUUACCAACCAGAGAGACAAAUCCUGCAUCAAGCUCAAGCUCAGUUUAUCAAGAAACUGGAAAAUUUUGCAGAUUGUUUGAGUGUCAAAGAAUUACCAUUGAAAAAACUGUGAUACCGCAAAAUAUUUGUAGCAAUUCCUCCGGGAUGAAGUGAAUUAGCAGUUAUAUUUACUCCAUCUUCCUGUUAUAAUCCAAAUGCAGUUAUAUAUAUUGUUGACAGUAAUUCUCUUGGUGCUGUGAUGCUAAGUGCUGUCAGCUUAGCUUUCUUAUUUCUCAUGAAUUGUUUUUGAAUGAAAGCUCUAGAGUAUUUGAAUGUUGAAUGAAUUUGUGGUAGAGCUUAAAUUUAGCCACAAACAAAGAGACAAACUUUCUUAAAUCAUGAGAAGUUAGUAUUAAAUUCUUUGUGGAAAGCUAGUAUAAUGUUGCUAUAUAAAGCAACCCUUGUUAACGAAAGUGUAAGAGAGAAAAACUUGAAAGCUAAGAGUAUGAGAGGAGAGAGCUUUGAAAGAAUAUUAAUUAUGUAGAAAAAAUGAAGAAGAAAAGAAAGAAAAAAAGAUCUGUAUUUGCAUCAACUUUGUCUUUAACUUCCUUAAACUCUGCUAUAUUGCUUUCUUUGUUUUAUCUCCUCUCAAUCUUCAACAUAUAGGCAUUCAAUUACUUGUUUCUUGUUUUGCUAUUACUUAAUAUUAAAAAUGUAUUGUACCUUGAGGCGUCUUGCAAGCUCAUUGGCGUGCAAAAUGUUAGCCAGCUUCGAUUGUCCAUAAGCACGUAUACUUCCGUAUCUGUAAAUUCACGGGUAUAAGAGAGUAAUGCUCAGAAAGACAUGGCUAAUAUAAGUAUUAUACAAUGUACAACCAACUAUUUAGCAGCAUCUACAGAUAGGAUUCCCAAAAUGAACAGUCAAAUACCCCAAUUCGUCAUUGAGUUUAUCAAAACGAAUUCCUUCCUCAUAUGCAGCACGGUGAGCUUCUGACGAUAAGUUAAUAAUUCUUCCCUCUCGAUUGCUUUCGUGUGCUGUUUUCUUCAUGCUCUCCAACAAAAGGUCAGUUAGAAGAAAAUGGCCUACAAAAUGAUCAAGAAAUCUCCUGGAGUUUACCCCUAUUUUGUUUGUAGAAGAUACAUCAUUGCAGAAAUAUUAAUUUACUAAUUCAACAGAACUGUUUGAAAAUGGGGGAGGAGAGCUGGUUUUGGAAUUUUAAAAGAUACAACAAAAAUUAUAUCUUCAACACAUAACAAAGGAAGAGAUAAAGAUGAAGAGGAAAGACAUAAAUUCAUUACUCAUAGUAAAAGGAUUUACAAAGCAUAAAAAACAAAGUUUUUUUUUUCUUCUUCUUCAUUCUCAUAUAGCUAUCCAGCUCUCUCCUCUUUCGCUUUUUUUUUUUUUUCUUCUCUCAAAUCUGUCCCAGCAGCUAGAUUUAUACAAAGAAAUGCAAUCUAGUUUUUACCAACUCUCCACCAAACCCAAUACCUUAAGUUAAACUAAACUAAGAAGUAAGCUUUGCUGCCAUCAUCUUGUUCAAGUUUACAAGAAAGGAAAUGAUCAAAAACACAAGAUGAAUGACAUUUGACAGCCAAAGUGUCACUAUUGCUAACAACAACAAUGUUAUCAAAACAGAGUUUAAGGAAACAACUAGAUUAUCAUAGAAACAAUCUUAGACCUACAAUAAAUGGAAAGACUCGAAGUAUAGAAAUUGUCAACCUUACAUAAUUAUAUGCAACUUACCAACUUGGUUUGUUGCAAACUGUAUUUCUAUGCCAUCUUGGGAAAGUGCAAAAGGUGUUGCCAUAAUGCCAGCAUUGUUACUUCCAACAAAGAAAAAGAGAAACUUUAUAUAGCAGAAAACAGAAUUCCAGUGAACUCAAACUCUUAAAAUUUCUUGUUUCUUACAUAAGGAGAUUAAGCGGAAGACCCGAGGAAAUAUAUUCAGAUGCAAAUUUCCUGACUGAUGCCAUUGAGCUGAGAUCCAACUGCAUAACAUCAAUCUUGGCAUCUGGGAUUUCUUUAAGUAUCGCUUCUUUGACACUCUUACCAGCAUCCACAUUUCUUACUGCCAUAACUACAUGUACACCUCGCAAAGCAAGAACACGUGCUGUCUCUACACCAAGACCACUUGAUGCUCCUGAAAUUAGGUUGGACAUGAAUUAACAGACUAACCUAGCUACUAACAACCAAGAAUUCCUUACAUUAAAUCUUCCAUGUAAUUGAUGAAACAUUUAGGAGAGACACAAGAUGGUCAUAUUCUGCAAAAGCCGUACAGAAGAAAUAUAAUCUAGACCAAAGAUUGAAAUAGGAAGAUAUUUGAAAAGUGGAUUCACAAAAAUCUCUUUCCAUUCAUUUGUGUAAUCAUUUUCUCAAAAUAAAUCCAUUUGACACAAAAACUAAUGAACAUUAAUCAAAUCCACCCACAAAUUCUUGUAAGAUCUAAGCAUCAAUGUAUUAUUACUAUAACACUGAGAUGCCAUUGGAUUAGCAUAUAAUAGGCCAGUAGUCGAGUUGUCUACCUUGCAAGGUGAGGGGUUCAACUUCAAACCCAGGCAAACCAUUCCCCUUUAAAAGUUUUCUAAUGCACCAAACCCAAAAAGGAAAGGAAAAAGACAAUUACUAAAACGCAGUAACAAUCACCAAAACAGACAAGCUUGAGAAAAAAUCAUUAAACCCCAGAAAUAACCACCGACAUUAUUUAUUUUUCAACUCAAAAUAAUAGUUUCCCUAUUUGGAAACUAAAAUGGAAACUGGUAAUCUGCCAUUCAUAAAGAGUCAAUAUUUAUUUUGCUUUCCUCUAAUUUAAACCAAGCAAAAGCUGAAAUUAGAAAAGGAAGUAAAGUAGCAAGGCAAAGGCUACAGAUAAAAACCUGACCAGUGACAAUAGCAGUGAGACCAGUGCCAUCAAUCCCCUGUGUAACUUGCUCAGCUGUGGAACUGGCAGAGAACCCAGAUGGCCCUUUCCACCCAAAGAUCCACAUAUUCAGAUUUUAAAACUACAGAGUUACAAAUUGUUUCUGGCUAUAUACAGAGCUAUAGCUGUUAUUCUUUGACUUCAAACCAAUCAAAUCAUGUCACGGCAAAUCAAAUACUUUUCACAAUUUAUCAGCAUUACUAGAGAUUAUAGUAAUAUUUAAGGAGACUCAUUGUAAACGUACCAACAUAACAUUUUAGAACUAGUUUUAUGCUACAUAUUUUUAUUUUAUAAAAAAUGCAAGGUCUUGCGGUUUGGUGGGAUCUCAUUUUCAUCUUUUCCUGUUUUGCAUAGUGAAGUUCCUACUAUAAAAACCCCUUAUUGUUGAAUUAGUUUUAUGUUACAUAUUUUUAUUUUAUAAAAAAUGCAAGGUCUUGCGGUUUGGUGGGAUCUCACUUGCAUCUUUUCUUGUUUUUCAUAGUGAAGUUCCUGCUAUGAAAACCCCUUAUUGUUCUCGUCAACUAAACUUAAGUGUAACUUACCAUUUGAACCACCUCUGUAUGAGUAUCUAAAAAGCUUAUUCUGAUUAUUAGGUUUUGACUCAAUAAUUCAUAAUAUAGGAUUAGAAAUAAUCCUGUCUCUAUUCGGUGCAAGAUUAUUUUCGAUAUGUUGCAGGACUUUUCUUUUAAAAUUAUUGCUAAUUGAGUAUAAAGCCUUAUUUAGCUUUGCCAAUUGAUGUGUGAGAAAUUGACUAGGAAUUGCUCUCUCCAUUAACACUAAUAUAAUGCACGUAGAAUUAUGGGGCCUAAAUGAAGUUUUAUGUUUGGUUUAGUGGAAAGAGGGAUAAGAGAAAAAAUGGAAAGAAAAUGCUUAAUCCUUCCUGGAAGGGAAAAAACAUAUAUAAGAAAGUAAAGUGAGCCUCUAAGCUCGAUAAACUUCCAAAUUAUGAAUAUUGAUGCAAGAAAAAGGAAGAAAGAUCAAACUUUCAUCUAUAUAUCGUAAUAUAAAUCCGAAACCUGCAUAUAAUACAUUCAUGUUGACUGCAGAAACCAGUUAAACUUUGAUAAAAGUUGGGUUCUGAUACAAGACAAGUAAUAUUCAAAAACCAAUAUGUACAUACACUUUUCUCAGAACUGAGAAAUCAACAGAACAUAUGAACUGAUCAAGGAAACAAGUUACUUAUAUAGGAGGCUUGAACUUGAUUGCUUAGUUACUUAGAACUUGUCAAUGUCAAGCUGAAAUCCCACAAUUUUUUGGCUAAUUCUGCGUCUUUAGCCUGAGAACUUGGAUUGGAGAGAUUACUGUCCACAAAAUAUUGUCCAGUUACCCCAUUAACUUGCGGAUUCAAUGCUACGUAGCAUGUAGUGGCUGCUCCCUGAAACCAUGCAUAACAAAGUAAUAAAGCUACUGCAUUUCUUAGUUGCACUGACAGAACUGGAUUGGAACAUAUCAAAUUUGUUAUUCUAAAGGACAUACCUGUGGGAUAUUUUUGAGAAAAUAUUUACCAACCAGAGACACAAAUCCUGCAUCAAGCCCAAGCUAAGUUUAUCAAGAACUGGAAAAAUUCAACUUGUAAAUGAAUGAAGAAACUAGAUCAAAAUUAACUUCAAUAUUGAAAAGAAUAACCUUAGCCAUACUAAGAAGAGUUGAAGUGUCAAAGUAUUACCAUAGAAAAAACUGUGAUGCCGCAAAAGAUUGGUACCAAUUGACCCAGGAUUAAGUGAAUUAGCAGUUAUAUUUACACCAUCUUCCUGUGUGGAAAGAAGUGGGGGAGAGGUUUAUAAGCUUCUUUUGAGAUAUGUGAUUACUAUGAGAAAUACAUAGUAAAGGGAGAAAACUCCUAGUAUUCAAAACUUAAUAUUUAAAAUGUCUUGUACCUUAAAGCGACUUGCAAGCUCAUUGGCAUGCAAGAUAUUAGCUAGUUUUGAUUGUCCAUAAGCACCUAAACUGCCAUAUCUGUAAAUUCAACGAAUAAGAGUGUGAUGCUCAGAAAUACAUGGAAUAUUGCUAAUCUAUAACCAUCUAUAUGUGCAUUAGUGUAUGCAGAGUGUGUCCAUGUAUUUAGCAGCAUCUAAAGAUAGGAUUCCCAGAAAGAACAGCCAAAUACCCUGAUUCGUCAUUGAGUUUAUCAAAACGAAUUCGUUCACGGUACGCAAAGCGGUGAGCUUCUGAUGAUAAAUUAACAAUUCUUCCCUCUUGAUUGCUUUCACGUGCUGUUUUCUUCAUGGUCUCCAACAGAAGGUCAGUUAGAAGAAAAUGACCUGCAAAAUUAUCAAGAACAUCUCUUACAGUUUAUCCCCAUUUUAUCUGUAGAAGACGAAGGAUAUUAUUAAUAUAUGGGGGAAAAAGAAAUUAAUUUUUAUUUUUUUGAGAGUCUUCACAAAGUAAUCCCAUAUCUGUUAUUCUCUAGGCUUUCUUUUGAUCUGUGUUUUCUCAUGAGUAUUGAACUUACCGACAUAGUUUGUCGCAAACUGUAUUUCUAUGCCAUCUUGGGAAAGUGCGAAAGGUGUUGCCAUUAUGCCAGCAUUGUUACUUCCAACAAAGAAAAUAGAACUUUAGUUCUUGCUGUUCAAUUUCAAAAGACUUCCUAAAUGGGUGUACAAUGUGCACAUUAAAGAAUAGUUAGGAAGAGAGCUGCCUUUAUAAAAAGUUCCAUGAAAGAACAGAAUAGAAUCAAAAUAGCAAGCAGCAAAACAAUCACUCAAAUGGGCUUGCAAAGCAGAGAAUAUCUGUACACAUUUAAGAGGAAUUUACAUAACAGAAAACAGAAACCCAGUGAACUCAAAACUCUUAAUCUUAGUUUCUUACAUAAGAAGAUUCAGCGGAAGACCAGAGGAAAUAUAUUCAGAUGCAAAUUUCCUGACAGAUGCCAUUGAGCUGAGGUCCAACUGCAUAACAUCAAUCUUGGCAUCAGGGAUUUCUGUAAGUAUUUCUUCUUUGACACUCUUACCAGCAUCCACAUUCCUUACUGCCAUAACCACAUGCACACCUCGCAAAGCAAGAACACGAGCUGUCUCCGCACCAAGACCGCUUGAUGCUCCUGAAAUUAGGCCCAAAAUGAAUUAACAGACUAACCUAGCCUAAUAACCAAGAAUUCCUGACAGACAUAAAUUGUCAUAAUGGAUAAAACAUGUAGGAUAGACAAUAAAGACAUGUAAGAGAGACAUUUAAGGAAAGAGAGUAGGAAGGACAAAAGAGAGACAUUUAAGGAAAGAGAGUAGAAAGGACAAAGGCUAUAGAUAAAACGUAACCUGUAACAAUAGCAGUGAGGCCAGUACCAUCAAUCCCCUGUGUAACUUGCUCAGCUGUGGAACUGGCAGAGAACCCAGAUGGCCCUUUCCACCCAAAAAUCCACAUAUUGCCUGUUCUAAAACUAGAGUUACAAUUUGUUUCUGGCUAUAUACAGAGCUAUAGCUGUUGUUUUUUGACUUCAAGUCAAUCACAAUCGUGUCGCGACAAAUCAAAACUUGAAUAUAUAUAUAUAUUAGUGCAAGAACUUGGCACAUCUGCUUGUUCUUAUAUUGCUUAUUAACAGAAAAAACCAAUACAAAACCCAACCCUUUUUAGUUUUUCACCGCAAAGUUCUUUUAAUUAUAUUAUAAUAUUACCUUAUUCAUUUCUCAUUCCCUAUUCAUUCUUCUUCAACCUCCAUCUUUGCACCGAAACAAAACCUAACAAAGCCUAAUCAUUCUCGUUGUUGAUAACUGCAGAUAAAAGAAAUCUGAAAAUUAUGCUUGUUAACCUUAUUUACUUCAUCGAUUGAGAAAAACCCAACAAAGCCUAAUCAUUCUCGUUGUUGAUAACUGUAAAUAAAAGAAAUCUGAAAAUUAUGUUUGUUAACCUUAUUUACUUCAUUGAUUGAGAAAUUUCACAAGAAUCCACAGAUUAUAUUGCGUAAAUCUCCUUUUUCUUGCCCUAAUUCCACAUCCCAGGCUCAACUAAUACUGGAUUAAAGCCAAGAAUCUUUUUGUUAAGAAAAGAACAAGAACUUCACUUCCGUCAUAAUUCGUUAUAUUAACCCAAGCACAGCCAGAGCAAAAAUGGACGCAAGAAAUAUAUUCUUUUAACAAAAAGAUUCCUGAACGAAUGGAUUUCAAUGACUUCUAAAUAUAAAAUAUAUUUUUUGUUUAGAUACAUGUCAUUUCAUUUCUUUAUCUAUCCUGAUUAUAUCGUAAUUAAUAUCAUUAAUUAUUUACUAAUGACUUCAAUUGAGACAUAAUCAGGGACUUGUAUAAUUGCAGAAACCAUUGUAGAAGGUUCUUCCAUCAUAUGUAAAAAAGGCAUAUGGGUUUUGAUACAAGUAAUAUUUAAAACCAAGAAAAUCCCCCAAAAAAAGUUGAUAUGUCCACACACUUUUUCACAACUGAAAAAUCAACAGAACAUUCAAACUGAGUAAUAGAACAAGUUGCUUAAAUAGGAGGCUUGAACUGCACUGGUUAGCUAUUUUGGAUUUGUCAAUGUCAAACUGAAAUCCCAUAGUUUUUUGGCUAAUUCUGGAUCUUUAGCCUGAGAACUUGGAUUGGCUAUGUUACUGUCCAUAAAAUAUUCUCCAGUUACCCCCUUGACCUGCGGAUUCAAUGCUACGUAGCAUGUAGUCGCUGCUCCCUACAACCGCACAUAAAAAACUAAUAAACAUACUGCAUUGCUUACUUGCAGCAGUGACAAAUUGAAUUGGAAAUAUCAAAUGUUUGAUUCUAAAGGACAUACCUGUGGAACAUUUUUGAGAAAAUAUUUACCAACCAGAGACACAAAUCCUGCAUGAAGCCCAAGCUCAGUUUAUCAAGAACUGGAAAAUUCAAACUUAGUAAAAUGAAGAAACUUAUUAAGCCUGAUAAUGAUCGGAUGUAAUACGCCGAAAAUUUGGUAGAUCAAAUUAACUUUCAAUAGUCAAAAGAAUAACCUUAGCCUAUGUCAAAGAGGAGUUGAAGUGUAAAGGAAUUACCAUUGAUGACACUGUGAUACCGCAAAAGAUUUGUAACAAUUGCCCCAGGAUGAAGUGAAUUAGCAGUUAUAUUUACUCCUCCUUCCUGCAUUGGAAAAAAAAGUGAGUGACAAGCUUAUAAGACUUGUUUUGAGAUACUUGUGAGAUUACUAUGACAAAACCACACAAUGGGAGAAAGGCUCCCGAAUCAUAAAGCAACUCCUAGUAUGCAUGCGAUAGGGAUACCAUAGGAAGCAUUUAUAGUAAACCAUUCAAAAAAGCAAUCAAUGUAAUAUAUUAUUUUGAUUUAGUGCAAAAUAUCUGAAAAGGAAAACAAAGAGAAAAAUAGGUACAGAGGAAAAGUCCUUCAUUAGCCAGGAUGUAACUAAAGGGCCAAGGAUAAGAGGCACCUUUAAUAUAUAUAUACAUUCAAGUAUUUGUUCCCUGUGUUUUCUUUUUUCUUUUGGAUUAUCAAAGCACUAAAGUUAAAUAACGGUUGAUCAACAAUUUAAACAAUGUUGCUUGUCAAUAAAGAUUUUCUGGUGAUUUCAAAGUUUUUCCAAGGUAUUAGCAAAUAUGCAGAACAUUGUGAGGACCAAAUUUCCACAAGCAUUGAACAUUAUUUUACCGAUUCACCUUGGGACAACCACAUUUCAAUCAGACUAUGGCAAUGACAAGUAGAUACAUCUUACAAAACUUACUAUAUAUGUUUAGAAAUCUUAGAUUAUUAGAAACUUCAUUGACCAAAAAGAAUGACAAUGUCCUGGAAUCUGACCUCUUCCAAAGAUUUUCAUUAGAGACUCUAAUUACUUAAAUUUAAAAUGUCUUGUACCUUAAGGCGUUUUGCAAGCUCAUUGGCAUGCAAAAUGUUAGCCAGCUUUGAUUGUCCAUAAGCACCUAAACUGCUGUAUCUGUAAAUCCACAGGUAUAAGAGGGCAAUAUUCAGAAAUACAUGGAAUAUUGCUAAUCUGUGCAUUAUAGAUUGUACAACCAUCUAUAUGUGCUCUCGUGGAUGCAGUGUGUGUCCAUGUAUUUAGCAGCAUCUAAAGAUAGGAUUCCCAGAGAACAGCCAAAUACCCUGAUUCGUCAUUGAGUUUAUCAAAAUGAAUUCCUUCACGGUAUGCAAAGCGGUGACCUUCUGAUGAUACAUUAACUAUUCUUCCCUCUUGAUUGCUUUCACGUGCUGUUUUCUUCAUGCUUUCCAACAAAAGGUCUGUCAGAAGAAAAUGGCCUGCAAAAUGAUUAUGAAAUCUCUUAGAGUUUACCUCCAUUUAUGUUUGUAGAAGAUACAUCAUUGCAGAAACAUUUACUAAUUCAAGAGAACAAUGUUUAUGAAAACAGAGUUUGAAGAAGUCACUAAACUAUUGUAGAAAUGACAUAUAAUAAAUAAUAAGACUGAAAGAAGUAUAGAAAGUACUUCGAAGAAUCACGAAAGUUAUUAAUCCAUGGGAAAAAAAAAGGCAAUUUUUAUUUUUUUGAGAGUUUUCACAAAGUAAUCCUAUAUGGCUUAUUCUUUAGACUGCCUAUAUUGGCUGUUUCCAACGGAUGUUUGUUGAUAUUCCCCCAUAUUCAAUUGCAAGGAAUUUGAAACCUUUUGUGCUAGAUCAGUUUUAUUACUAUGCAUUCUCCAUUCGAUCUCAUUUCUAAAUCAAAAGCAUACUAUGUUGCAUUUUGCUGCCACGACAUAUAUUGGAACCAAACUAUAAGGAAAUUUCUUACAGAAAUUAUCUGCAACUUACCAACAUGAUUUGUUGCAAACUGUAUUUCUAUGCCAUCUUGGGAAAGUGUGAAAGGUGUUGCCAUAAUCCCUGCAUUGUUACUUCCAACAAAUAAAAAGAACUUUUAAGCUCUUGCGUUCAAUUUCAAAAGGUAUCCUUAAUUGGUGUACAAUGAAAGAGCAGAAUAGAAUCAAACAGCAAGCAGCAAAACAAUCAGAGUCACAUGUGCAUGCAGAACAGAGAAUUCCGACACACAUUUAAUAGGAAUUUAUAUAACAAACAGAAAUAGAAUCCAGUGAACUCGAACUCUUAAUAUAGUUUCUUACAUAAGGAGAUUCAGCGGGAGAUCCAAGGAAAUAUAUUCGGAAGCAAAUUUCCUGACAGAUGCCAUUGAGCUAAGAUCCAACUGCAUAACAUCAAUCUUGGCAUCGGGGAUUUCUUUAAGUAUCGAUUCUUUGACACUCUUACCAGCAUCCACAUUCCUUACUGCCAUGACCACAUGUACACCCCGCAAAGCAAGAACACGUGCUGUCUCCGCACCAAUACCACUUGAUGCUCCUGAAAUUAGACAGAAUGAAUUAACAAACUAACCUAACCUACUAACAACCAAAAAUUCCUUACGUAAUCUACAUUGUCAUUUAGGUAAUAAUCAAUCUUCCACAUAAUCGAUAAAACAUGUAGGAGGGAAUUUUAAGCAGGAAGGUCUUACAGAAAUUGGUAUCAACAAAGUCUAGAGCUGAUGGUCAUAUACUAUGCAACAAUCAUUACAAAAGAAAUAUAACAACCCAGAACCAAAAAUACAAAUAGUUAGAUAUUUCAAAAGUCCACCCAAAAGAAUCUCUCUGUAUUCAUUUAUGUAAUCAACUCCUUAGGAUAAAUCUAUUUAAAAAAGGAACCAAUGAAAAAUAAGCUCACAAGCACAAGUGUUCAUUAACAACUCCGCCCACAAAUUCUUGCAAGAACUAAGCAUCCAUGUAUUAUUACAAAAACACUGAGAUGCCAUUGGUCUACCAGGGCUAGUACGACAAUAGACGAGUUGUCUGCUUUGUAAGGUGAGGGGUUCAAACCCAGGCAAACCACUCCCCUUUAAAAAUUCUCCAAAUGGACCACGGAAAAAAAAAGGGCUUGAGACAAUUAUGAAAACGCAGUAACAGCCACUAAAAUAUACAAGCUUGAGAAAAAUUAUUAAACCCCACAGAUAAUCACGAACUUGUUCCCCUUUUUGAAAGCUAAAAAUGGCAACUUGUAAUUUACCAUUUAUAAAGAUUCAAUAUUUAUUUUGCUUCCCUCUAAUUUAAACCAAACAAAAGCUGAAAUUAGAAAAGGAAAGAAACUAGCUAGGCAAAGACUGCAGAUAAAACCUAACCUGUGACAAUACCAGUGAGGCCAGUUCCAUCAAUCCCCUGUGUAACCUGCUCAGCUGUGGAACACGCAGAGAACCCAGAUGCCCCUUUCAACCCAAAAAUCCACAUAUUGCAGAAUUUGAAACUAGAGAGUUACAAAUUGUUUCUGGCUAUGCUUCAAAAACUGACCAAACAUGGAAAUAUAUUGCUAUGAAGAGCCAAAAGUUUUAUUGUUUGACUUCAAGCCGAUCACAGUCAUUUCGGGACCAAUCAAAAUUUGAUGUAUAGAUUAGUACAUGAACUUGCCACAUGUGCUUGAUAUUUGCACUUACUAAACAUUGGUUUUGACAAUCCAUGUCUGUUCUCCUGUGACGAACAGCUGGUGCAAAAUUAAAAUUUUGUAGCAAAUUCAACAAAGUUUUCAAUUUAUCGGCCCGAAAGUGCUUUACCAUUCAUUUUUAUUAUUUAAUAGCAUCAACUUAGAUUAUAGUAAUAAUUAAGGAGUAAUUGCAACAUUAAAAUGUAUUUUUGUUGUUGAGUUGAUUUAAUUUGUAUUAUUAUUUGUUAACCAAAAUAGUAAUUUUUGGUUUUGUUUUUCCUUCAAAAAACUUAUAUUUCCCUUUCAAUGGAGAAAGGAAUUUGGAUAGAAUUUUAAGAUUAAAGAUACUAUACACAUAUAAGAUUAUUUCCAUUUCAUUCAAAAUUAUAGCUUUAAGUACUAAUUAAACAAUAAUAUUUUAUCUAACUCUGAGAUAAUUUAUUAAAAAAAUUAUCUUUGAGAGUGUUUUAAUUACAUGUAGUUGGGGUAUUCAGUUCCAGUUAAUAAGUUAAUAAUUCGAGUUCAGUCCCACUUAUAUUUGCAAGUUAUCACAUUUAUCAAAUCCAAGUGACAUCAGAAUAACUUAAUUUCUACUUGCACAGUAGUUUCUCUAGCAAAUGAACUUGGAUAGGUUGAAAGCUACUUAUCUUGUGCUUGGUGUGAGCUGUGAUUCCACAUUUUACAUUUACUUAGAAAGUUGAAAGAGGAAUAAAAUUGUUGUAAGCAUAAAUUUGCCUCUAAAGCUAACACUUUUAUCCUUGAAUCACUCUUACGUUUAUUGCUAAAAAGUGUAACUUUAGGAGCACAAUAAGUCUCCAUAGAUUUAAGUUGCCGCAAGGAUAAAAGUAUUAACUUUGGAAGUAAAUUUAUGCAUUAGGCACAAAAAAAAUUUUCGUCUUGGCUCAACUUAGGCUAGAUUUUGGGCAAGGGUUGUUUGAGCACAAUGUCCUGAGUUUGGGUUCAAUUAUGCAGUAUAAUAUGGAGUGAACAUUUCGAGGGAGCCAGCUCAAAUGGCAUUAUGCAGCUCCCCACUUUUCUUUUCUUUAUAAAAAAGAAAGGAGAGGGAGAGAGAGAGAGAGAGAGAGAGAGAGAAAGAAGCACUGAGCCUUGAAAAGGACAGUGGUGAAGAUCAAUUGUGUGAAGAACUAAAGAAGAAAGAUGGUUGAAAACAGUGGCUGCUCAAGGAGCAAGCCACACAAAACCAUCCACAAGAGCAUAAGUGAAUUCUCAACUAAAAUCACAUCAUUAUUACGACAAUUGGAACUUGAGAUUGAAUUUUAGGUGAAGCAAUAGAAUUGUGGAUGGGAAGUUCCAAUCAAUGGACCUUCCAACCACUUGACUAUUCUCAUCAGCACUAAGCAGACAUGAUAAUGUAGGACAAGAUUUUGCUUAAUGAAAGGAAGAUAGCAGAAUAAAGAUAAAAAAGAAUUUCUCCAUUCAAUAGGGGUCACAAACUUGAUACAUCACCAAUACUAGAUAAUUUACACACAUGAUUAACAUAAUUAACUUUUUCAAUACCAGAUUCACAUGGAAGCGGAAGAGAACCAAAAAUACACAACAAAAGAAAAAACAAAAAAAAAAAAAACAGAACACUAAAGUAGAAAAGUGAUGGUGAAAUGCAAAGCAGCAUUUAAGCCCUGCUCUUGAAAGGAAUAGCUCUAAUGACUAUCUGGUGGUACAGAGCAGCAAGAGCAGCUCCAAUGAAGGGCCCAACCCAAAAAACCCACUGCACAAGCACAAAUAGACAAAUUGCAAGAAAUUAAAAAUCUAUUCAUCUUUGGUAAAGUGGCAAAAAUUCUCUCUUGAAAGUCAG
rnacentral:lncRNA from 1 species